UACGGGGGGGGCAAGCGUUGUUCGGAAUUACUGGGCGUAAAGGGCUCGUAGGUGGCCAACUAAGUCGGACGUGAAAUCCCUCGGCUUAACCGGGGAACUGCGUCCGAUACUGGUUGGCUUGAGUUCGGGAGGGGGCAGUGGAAUUCCAGGUGUAGCGGUGAAAUGCGUAGAUAUCUGGAGGAACACCGAUGGCGAAGGCAGCUGCCUGGCCCAGAACUGACGCUGAGGUGCGAAAGCGUGGGGAGCGAACGGG
rnacentral:rRNA from 1 species